UGGGCUUGAGCCAUUCUGAGGGGACAGGGAUGUCAUACUGCUAGCAUCAGUGCUGAAAAAUAUCCUAUUGCUUUUGACAUCUGAGUUAGCUUGGUGAGAGCAUGCAGGCAUCUCUCAGCCUGCAGUACAUUGUGCUGUUCUUGCAUUGGUUACAGUGUGGUAACCAGUAGACCAGAGCCUUUUCUGUGUAAAGUGAUGAACAUUCAAAGACCUACCACAUGAAGUCUCAAUCCUGCACUCAAACACGUGGGGAGAGCUUCCCAUGUUUCCAGAGGCCCACUACAGCCAACAGAAACAACAAGGAUCACUUUGGAAGUGUUCUUGGAGGAGAAAUUCUGCGGAGAGCAUGCAAAGAAGUUGGUGUGAGA
rnacentral:lncRNA from 1 species